CACUAACUGGAGGACCGAACCGACUAAUGUUGAAAAAUUAGCGGAUGACUUGUGGCUGGGGGUGAAAGGCCAAUCAAACCGGGAGAUAGCUGGUUCUCCCCGAAAGCUAUUUAGGUAGCGCCUCGUGAAUUCAUCUCCGGGGGUAGAGCACUGUUUCGGCAAGGGGGUCAUCCCGACUUACCAACCCGAUGCAAACUGCGAAUACCGGAGAAUGUUAUCACGGGAGACACACGGCGGGUGCUAACGUCCGUCGUGAAGAGGGAAACAACCCAGACCGCCAGCUAAGGUCCCAAAGUCAUGGUUAAGUGGGAAACGAUGUGGGAAGGCCCAGACAGCCAGGAUGUUGGCUUAGAAGCAGCCAUCAUUUAAAGAAAGCGUAAUAGCUCACUGGUCGAGUCGGCCUGCGCGGAAGAUGUAACGGGGCUAAACCAUGCACCGAAGCUGCGGCAGCGACACUAUGUGUUGUUGGGUAGGGGAGCGUUCUGUAAGCCUGUGAAGGUGGCCUGUGAGGGUUGCUGGAGGUAUCAGAAGUGCGAAUGCUGACAUAAGUAACGAUAAAGCGGGUGAAAAGCCCGCUCGCCGGAAGACCAAGGGUUCCUGUCCAACGUUAAUCGGGGCAGGGUGAGUCGACCCCUAAGGCGAGGCCGAAAGGCGUAGUCGAUGGGAAACAGGUUAAUAUUCCUGUACUUGGUGUUACUGCGAAGGGGGGACGGAGAAGGCUAUGUUGGCCGGGCGACGGUUGUCCCGGUUUAAGCGUGUAGGCUGGUUUUCCAGGCAAAUCCGGAAAAUCAAGGCUGAGGCGUGAUGACGAGGCACUACGGUGCUGAAGCGACAAAUGCCCUGCUUCCAGGAAAAGCCUCUAAGCAUCAGGUAACAUCAAAUCGUACCCCAAACCGACACAGGUGGUCAGGUAGAGAAUACCAAGGCGCUUGAGAGAACUCGGGUGAAGGAACUAGGCAAAAUGGUGCCGUAACUUCGGGAGAAGGCACGCUGAUAUGUAGGUGAAGCGACUUGCUCGUGGAGCUGAAAUCAGUCGAAGAUACCAGCUGGCUGCAACUGUUUAUUAAAAACACAGCACUGUGCAAACACGAAAGUGGACGUAUACGGUGUGACGCCUGCCCGGUGCCGGAAGGUUAAUUGAUGGGGUUAGCGGUAACGCGAAGCUCUUGAUCGAAGCCCCGGUAAACGGCGGCCGUAACUAUAACGGUCCUAAGGUAGCGAAAUUCCUUGUCGGGUAAGUUCCGACCUGCACGAAUGGCGUAAUGAUGGCCAGGCUGUCUCCACCCGAGACUCAGUGAAAUUGAACUCGCUGUGAAGAUGCAGUGUACCCGCGGCAAGACGGAAAGACCCCGUGAACCUUUACUAUAGCUUGACACUGAACAUUGAGCCUUGAUGUGUAGGAUAGGUGGGAGGCUUUGAAGUGUGGACGCCAGUCUGCAUGGAGCCGACCUUGAAAUACCACCCUUUAAUGUUUGAUGUUCUAACGUGGGCCCCUUACCGGGGUUGCGGACAGUGUCUGGUGGGUAGUUUGACUGGGGCGGUCUCCUCCUAAAGAGUAACGGAGGAGCACGAAGGUUGGCUAAUCCUGGUCGGACAUCAGGAGGUUAGUGCAAUGGCAUAAGCCAGCUUGACUGCGAGCGUGACGGCGCGAGCAGGUGCGAAAGCAGGUCAUAGUGAUCCGGUGGUUCUGAAUGGAAGGGCCAUCGCUCAACGGAUAAAAGGUACUCCGGGGAUAACAGGCUGAUACCGCCCAAGAGUUCAUAUCGACGGCGGUGUUUGGCACCUCGAUGUCGGCUCAUCACAUCCUGGGGCUGAAGUAGGUCCCAAGGGUAUGGCUGUUCGCCAUUUAAAGUGGUACGCGAGCUGGGUUUAGAACGUCGUGAGACAGUUCGGUCCCUAUCUGCCGUGGGCGCUGGAGAACUGAGGGGGGCUGCUCCUAGUACGAGAGGACCGGAGUGGACGCAUCACUGGUGUUCGGGUUGUCAUGCCAAUGGCACUGCCCGGUAGCUAAAUGCGGAAGAGAUAAGUGCUGAAAGCAUCUAAGCACGAAACUUGCCCCGAGAUGAGUUCUCCCUGACUCCUUGAGAGUCCUGAAGGAACGUUGAAGACGACGACGUUGAUAGGCCGGGUGUGUAAGCGCAGCGAUGCGUUGAGCUAACCGGUACUAAUGAACCGUGAGGCUUAACCUUACAACGCCGAAG
rnacentral:rRNA from 1 species